CUGAGUGUGACAGCCAGCCCCAGAAACAAAGCCUAGAAACGCCUGUGUUUAAAAUGAGAAGGCCAAAGCUUCUGGGAAGGAUGAUCUAUUUUAUGAUGCCUCAAAGUUUCAGAAUGACUGUAGCCCCCCUCACCUCCUCUGGGCUGAACACCAUCAUCUAGCCUCUGACACUCGGGUCUGGAGACAGAGGGGGUUGAGGGGGAGGCAAUUGCAGCUGGCAGGAACCUUGCUUUUCAAGAACCUGGACCCCAGGACAACUCUGGUUGAGGCUCCCCAAGUCCCUCAAGGUAUGACUUGGGACAUGAGGGUUUUCUGGAAAGUCAUGCGUGCUUUUCCUGGAUGCAGGGAAGCGAGAAGUGGGACAGCCCAUUCGCGAGCAUCUCAACAGUCCAUUCCAUGGUCUCAGUUUCUUGGUGACUCCACAUGGGAAUCAUCUUCUCUAUCAGCAAGAAUUAGGUUCAGCUGCAAAUAACAGGAAACACUAUAAUAAUAAUAAUGACUUAAACCAAUGUUUCUCAAACCAUUAUGUGCACAUGAAACACCCGUGGAUCUUGUUAAAACGCAGAUUCUGAUUCAGAAGGUCUGAGGCAGGCCCUGAGGCUCAGCAUUUCUAACAAGCUCCUGAUGGAUGUCCAUGUUGCUGGUCCACAAAGCACAGUGAAGAGUGAGGGCUUCAAUAAGACAAAGGUUUAUUGCUCACUUAGGCACAGAAAACCUGGGGAUGACCCUCUGGGCUAUAUGGGAUCCCUAGAAGCAUCAGAAACUCCAGUUCUGAUCUUUCUGCUCCUCCAUCUUCAGCACGUGGCUUCCAUCCUUAAGAUUUCCUUGCUAUCCAAGACAGAUCCUAGAGAUCCAGGCCACCCAUCUGCUCUCCAAGCCAGCAGCAAGAGGAAGCGGGAGAGGGAAAAAAUAGUGUUUCUACCAGCCGAGCCAACUCCUCUGAAAGAUUUUUCUUGCAGGCCCAUACAUUCUGCUUUGUCUCUUACUCACCCCCAAGCUGCAGAGAGGCUAAAAAUUGUGUUUCUUUUCCUAAGAAGGGAGGGGAGAAUGGGUGACUGGUGGGCAGUUAGGGUCCCUGCUCCUCUCUCCAUCCUGCUCACCAUUUUGAAACCGUAAGACAGAGGAGCAUGACCUCGGCAGCUGCUCUUCUCCAGUGGUUAUUCUGAGGAAGAAGCUAGACUCCACUGUGCACUGUCUGGGUGACCUCUGAGCCAUGGUUAGGAGCCAGAGUGAGAAUAAAUGAAAAGACACUGACAGAGGACGAGAGGGAGGAUGACUCGAGCAGAGUGGUCUGGAACCUUCUGCCAGAACCAGGCAGAAAAGUAGAAAGACCAUGGACAGACCCUGUGCCCCACUUUUGAAAACUGGCUUCGGUCUUGCUUCUGAGACUUAAGAGCUGCCUUUUACUCCAAGAGGUGCGCCUUUUCCUCUGGGCCUGACAGCCUCUGUUGGUCCUUCUGGAACAGAAGUCCUCUCUGCAAUGUUCUAGCUGGACUCUUCCCAGCCCCCUCCCCUCUCAGAGAUGGGGUGCUGCCUAUGCGUGCUCCAGCUGAAGCCUGGGACCUCACUUUUGACUCAUGCCACUGGCACCUGGGCUCACCCACUCCUGGGUCCCUUCUCUUGCUUUGAAUAGAACCUCCUCAGUGUUAAAACCUGCCAGAAUCACCAGUAGUGGCUGCUCCCAGUUCCUUGAUGCUUUUAAGUACUUUUCUUCUAUGCCGAAUGUCCACUUUAAUUGAAACUGCCUGGCCUACAGCCCCCCCCUCAACCUAGGGAGAGCAGUUCCAGGAAGACUUUUGGGCAGGAGUGACCACCGAGGAGAACAGGAGUGGACAUGCUACCAUAGACUGCGAGUGGCUUAUGACAUGGCCCAAUGCAAAGGAAACUGAUGAAACCAAGGUGGUGGCAUUAACUAAACCAAUCAGGGUCCCUCAGUGCGAAAUUUGACUUAAAGUUACGGCGAACAUUUACUUGUUAAUAGCAGUAAGAAAGAGGCAGACAUGUGGCUGCCACUGAGGCAGAUUAAUGAUGGCACAAACUCCAGUUGCUGAUGUCCCCAGCUCCUGGUGCCCUUGGGCCUGCAUUUCUAGAUAUCCAACCUGAUGGUUUUUCAUCCCGCUUGCCAUCUAGGAACUCUACAGGUUUUCAGAUAAGCACAGAUACAUCCUUUUCUGUUCAUCUAGUAAAAAUGAUUUGUGACAUCUCGUGAUAUAUGGUUAAUGCAGCAAGUUUCUUGUUUUGAUGCCUGCCCUGCAUUGUAGAAGACUUCUUGGCUGAAACUGCCCUUCACACGGCCCCCUACUCAGAGAAGCAGUGCUAAACUGAUUGGGUCAAGACUGGGCAUCGACCCAAAGGAGCCCAACCAUAGGCUUUCUAGUUGAGACAGCUAGUUUGAAGGUAAUAAUGGUUUCCUAAAUGUAGCAGUGGUUCAGCUUCCAUGAUCAAACCUCAAUAACAUGGCUAAAACAAAUAGAUGCUUACUUUUUUCUCAUGUGAAAGUCUAAGCUUAGUAUGGCAGCUCUGUUCUGCAAAGGUAUCACAGGCCCGGGCUCUUUCUAUCUUGUUGCUCUGCCAACUGCAAUAUUGUCCUCAUCUGUGCUGUCCAAGAUGGCACACAGCAUAUCCACAUUCCAGUAAAUGGGAAAGGAGAAAGGACCCAGGAGGACCAGCUGCUCACCUUUAAAAGCACAACCUGGAAGUCACACAGAUAACUUUCACUCAUAACUCAUUGGCCAAAACGUGAGCAGAUGGCCACUGUCAGGUGCAAGGAAGGCUGGGAAACGUUAGUCCUAUUCUGGGCAGCUGUGUGCCUGGCUAAAAAUCCAGGCUUAUAUUAUUUUGAGAGAGAAUGAAUAUUAGGGGAAGUCUCUAGUGUCUACUGGUCAGACCAGCUCCCUCUGGAAUCUGGGGCUGGGGAAACCAGAGAUGGUUGUCUUGUUGAGAAUGAGAGGAGAUGGGGGUUGAUGCACAGAAAGAAUCACAGCCAUGAAGCCCAUGGGAGAAGCAGAGAGCGUGGAUAGGCCCCAAACUGCCUGUGACUCCAAACACCACUCCUGCUCCUGCUCUCACAGAUGGGUGUCCUGUCUUCAGAAAGCCUCUGUUCUUGAAGGGCCUGAGGCACUCGGAAGUCUUUGCUGCACACCCAGGACAUUCAGACCUGUUGGAGGUGCGGUCCAAGCAAUUUAAUAGUGGUUCCAUUCUACAGACAAGAAAACUAAACCCUAUGUGCUUCAUCGUCUGUCCUCAGGCCCCCUGGCCCUAAUCAAUCAAAGAAGAAAAGAUGCAUUAGAAUCUGUUGCUUUCAGCCUCUUGGUUAGUGAGACGGAAGCAAACCAUCGAUACGCACUGCUAUCUGGCUUCCUCUGUGGAAAGUGCAGAUAGAGAUCUCAAGGGUCCUGUUUGCUGAGACCACACUCUCAGGCACCUCUCAAUUCGGAUCAGCCACAUUUCCUGUGCUAGACAGCUAGAGCUGUGUACCUGACCUGUGAAGAGAGAAGAGAAUCAAGGCUUUCAGGGGAGAAGACUUCCCCCUGGUGGACAAAAGUGGAAAGUACAUGGGAGACUGAAGCAACUGGCUGAGCCCCGACCGGACAGGGAAGGUCUCUCUUUGACAUCACCUCCUCUGGGAAGCCUUCAUUGCCUCUCCAUGGCUGGUGUGCCCAGAGCCUGUCCCUCACAUCACACUUAUCACACUGCAUCCUAACUACCCAUUUCCACAUCCGUGAACCUGUGAGCAUCUUGAGGGUAAGGAACAUGAUUUAUUCCUUUUUGAAUGCCAGGACUGGCUAUGAAAAUAAGUGUUCAUGGCAUGAUUAUGUCAAUGGUGUGGCUGAAUACGUUUCAUUCUUGUCCUUCAUUC
rnacentral:lncRNA from 1 species